rnacentral:rRNA from 1 species
AUGGCGGCGCCGCGCGUCCUCCUCCUCCUUGCCGCCGCGGCCCUCCUCGCCGUCUCCUCCGUCGGGGACGCUUCGGGCGAGGGCCCCCGCGGGCGCAAGCUGCUGGUGCUCGUCGACGAUCUGGCCGUCCGCUCAUCCCACUCGGCCUUCUUCGGCUCGCUCCAGGCCCGCGGGCUAGAUCUGGAGUUCCGCCUCGCCGACGACCCCAAGCUCUCGCUCCACCGCUACGGUCAGUACCUCUACGACGGCCUCGUGCUCUUCGCCCCAUCGACCCCGCGCUUCGGCGGAUCGGUGGACCAGAAUGCUGUUCUGGAGUUUAUCGACGCCGGGCACGAUAUGAUUCUGGCAGCAGAUCAUUCGGCUUCAGAUCUGAUCCGCGGCAUCGCAACGGAGUGUGGGGUUGACUUUGAUGAGGACCCGGAAGCAAUGGUUAUUGACCACAUCAAUUAUGCCUCCAGUGAGGUUGAAGGUGACCACACCUUGAUUGCUGGCGAUGACCUGAUCCAGUCAGAUGUGAUAUUGGGGUCCAAAAAGAUUGAGGCUCCUGUUCUGUUUCGAGGGAUUGGGCAUGCGGCCAAUCCAUCCAACAGCUUGGUUUUAAAGGCUAGGAAUAAUGCUCGUGUGUUGAUAUCUGGAUCACUGGAUUUGUUUAGCAACAGGUUCCUAAAGUCUGGUGUUCAGAAGGCUGGCAGCAAAAUGAGCCAUGACAAAGCUGGAAAUGAACAAUUUGUGACAGAGACGAGCAAAUGGGUCUUCCAUGAGAGGGGUCAUCUGAAGGCAGUGAAUGUCAAGCACCAUAAGGUUGGGGAGACAAAUGAGCCUAGCAUGUACCGCAUCAAUGAUGACUUGGAAUACUCAGUUGAGAUAUAUGAAUGGUCUGGUACAAGCUGGAAGCCAUAUGUUGCUGAUGAUGUUCAGAUUCAAUUUUUCAUGAUGAGCCCUUAUGUUCUGAAAAACAUGUCAACUGACAAAACGGCUGUAUAUUCAGCAUCCUUCAAAGUUCCAGAUGUUUAUGGAGUUUUCCAGUUCAAGGUUGAGUACCAAAGGCUUGGAUACACUGGCCUCUCUCUUGCAAAGCAGAUUCCAGUGCGUCCAUACAGGCAUGAUGAGUAUGAGAGGUUCAUAACUUCAGCGUUUCCAUACUAUGCUGCCUCAUUUUCAACAAUGGGAGCCUUCUUCAUAUUCUCAGUUGCGUACCUCUAUCACAAAUAG